ensembl:lncRNA
GUCCUGGCAGACAGGCUGACAUUCACAUUUGCAGCCAGCACUGAACCCAAGCUAAGUCUGAGCUGGUUCAUGGUUCAGUGUAAUGCCUCACGCAGCCAUGUAAAUGGCCCGACUGGGACAGAAUCUUGGAUUCAGUUUAAAAAGUCAGUGCUGCUCCAAGAAAAGCAACUGAUGCUCUGCCAACAGUGUCUUAAAUUGAACUAACAAUUACUAAAAAUUAUUUUAUUCCUCUUAACCAAAGAACUGCUGCAUUAAUGGAGCUUCGGACAUGCUAACAGCACAGCAGAUUCUAAACACUGCUCUCCUGGCUCCGUUCAUCCCUUGGCAGGAAGGAAGGCAGGAGCAAACAUCUUGGACAACAGGGCUGCACAACAUGCAUCAGGAGCAGGGAGGGGAAGGAAACUGCAGCAGGCACUCCUGAGGGACUGAAGAGCAAUGACGGCUUCUAUCUGAAGAAUGCUGAGAAAAUCUAAAAAGUUAUUUUAAAGCUUCUGAAGAAUUAAUAGAACGAUGUACGUAAACGUCCUCUCAGAAAUAUCAGAAUCCAGGGUGGGGUUUUACAGAAGUUGGAGAGGUACGAGAACUGAGGCUGAUGGCUGACUACAAUGAUUUUUUUUCCUAUAUUUCAUUGAAUCACAGAAUGGCCUGAGUUAAAA